UACGUAGGGUGCAAGCGUUAAUCGGAAUUACUGGGCGUAAAGGGCUCGUAGGCGGCCAACUAAGUCAGACGUGAAAUCCCUCGGCUUAACCGGGGAACUGCGUCUGAUACUGGAUGGCUCGAGUUUGGGAGAGGGAUGCGGAAUUCCAGGUGUAGCGGUGAAAUGCGUAGAUAUCUGGAGGAACACCGGUGGCGAAGGCGGCAUCCUGGACCAACACUGACGCUGAUGAGCGAAAGCCAGGGGAGCAAACGGG
rnacentral:rRNA from 1 species